rnacentral:lncRNA from 10 species
UGUUUUAUCUGUAAUACUUUCUUUGCAAGUUAAAUAGAAUGAUGGAAAGAUUAUUUGGCUCCAAUACAGAGUGAUUUGAAAACAACAGAAAAAAAAAUUAGCUGGAAAAUAGAAGCAUAGGAAAAAAUCACAGAGCUGGAAGAAACCUUAGAUAAAGUCUAAUCAUGUUGGAAGAAGAGUAGGGUGAAUGGGGACAGUCCCUCCCCCUCACUUUAUAGAUGAAGGAAAGGAGGUUCAGAAAGGAGAAAUGACUUGCCUAAGGUCAAUCAAGUUUUAGGGAAACAAAUAGAAGUGAUUUUUGAAAGAUGUCUUCAGUUUUAUAUAAAAAAUUCUCUAAUGAAUGUACUAGUGGGCUUUUAUUUUUAUAACCCAGAUAUAUGGAAAAACUUACAAGCCACAUGAAGAACAGUGUUCCUCCUCCCUGAAGGAUUCAAUGUUUAAGGAACCAUCUUGGAAGCAGAGACAUGCUCUCACCAGACACCAAACCUGCUGGUGCCUUCAUCUUGGACUUUCCAGC